rfam:Cupriavidus basilensis strain 4G11 chromosome secondary, complete sequence.
GGGUCUGUAGCUCAGGUGGUUAGAGCACCGUCUUGAUAAGGCGGGGGUCGUAGGUUCAAGUCCUACCAGACCCA